AGGACGAACGCUGGCGGCGCGCUUAACACAUGCAAGUCGAGCGAGAACCAGGGCUUCGGCUCUGGGGACAGCGGCGAACGGGUGAGUAACACGUGGGUAAUCAACCCUCGACAUCGGGAUAGCCCGGGGAAACCCGGAUUAAUACCGAAUGCUCCGUCUGGCCUUCGGGCCGGCCGGAAAAGGUAGCUUCGGCCUCCGGUCGGGGACGAGCCCGCGGCGGAUUAGCUUGUUGGUGGGGUAAAGGCCCACCAAGGCGACGAUCCGUAGCUGGUCUGAGAGGACGAUCAGCCACACUGGGACUGAGACACGGCCCAGACUCCUACGGGAGGCAGCAGUGGGGAAUCUUGCGCAAUGGGCGAAAGCCUGACGCAGCGACGCCGCGUGAGGGAAGAAGGCCUUCGGGUUGUAAACCUCUUUCAGGAGGGACGAAGCCACUCGGGUUAAUAGCCCAGAGGGUGACGGUACUUCACAAGAAGCCCGGCUAACUACGCGCCAGCAGCCGC
rnacentral:rRNA from 1 species